rnacentral:lncRNA from 1 species
UUUACAAUUAAAAUUAAAAUUUAAAAUUUAAUUUUGAAAAUUAAAAAUUAAUUUUAAAUCUAACUGGAAUUUAAAAUUUGAAUUCAAAUUCACAUUUUUGUAUUUGAAAUAUAAAAUACAAAUAAAUUUGAAUUUGAAUUUGUGUCACGCCCCGGAUUACACGUUUUCCGGGCAUGCCGACAAAUCCGCCAUAUUCAUGUAUACGAAGCGUAGCUGUACAUGUAAAACAUACAAUACUACUACCAGUAGUAUAGAGCUGCUAGGAAACAAAACAUAACCAGAUAGAAAAGAACAGUUCACCAUACAUACAACAUCCAGUAUACAAAAACUCGCCCAGCGAGAUACAGUAUCAACAGUAUGUAUAUGAACUCAAAAACUGCAACUACUUGUAGCUGGUGCUCCGCUAACUCGACG